CACCAAAUUCUACAAUUAGCAGAAAAUAUACUGCUAUAGUCAACAAUUCAAUUACAGUUAGUGCAAUUAUUGUUGCCAAAAGCGUUUUAAAUUCUUCUCAACUAGCAUCCAUUACAGUGCAUAGUGCCCAAAAUAAAUGAUUCUCUAUCUCUAUUUCUCUGACAUCCCGAAAAAAACAUUUCAAUAACACAGUAAUCGAAUCCCUUUUAACGCGUUCUCACAAUUACAAUCAAACCAGCAAUCAAUGAUUUCAAAAACACUUGUUGAUUCCUGUCCUCUUCUGCUAUUAUACCUCUAACCACUGGAUGUCACUAUUUCCCUUAGGUAAAUAACUGACUUGAAUAUCUGUCGAGCGGCACAGUGGACGACUGGUCAGUACAUCUGCCUCACAGUUCUGAGGACUGGGGUUCAAAUCCCGGCCCCGCCUGUGUGGAGUUUGCAUGUUCUCCCCGUGCCUGCGUGGUUUUCUUUGGGCACUCCGGUUUCCUCCCACAUCCCCCAAAACAUGCAUGGCAGACUCCACUCUGGACUAAUUGCCAGUCAAUCACAGGACACAAUCACUGAGUGGGAACUGAAGCUACACUGCCUGCAUGGAAGUCAGGUGAGUGAACCAUUGCACCGUCAGUGACUAUCCUCCUCAGUUCAGCAGUUUCAAAAGUUCAUUUUUAACAUCAACAGGAGUGAGAUAGCUGCAGUUCAUUGUUGUCAGCGUCUGUGAAGACAAUGGCUGUCUCAAAGACCAUCACCGACAGUUCGAUGGUUUCCAUGGUAGAUGUCUGUUAUCAAUGCGAUCAAUAACGUCACACGACCGCAGCCGACGGGAGCGUUUGGCACUGCGCUGGUGAAGAGCAUUGUUGCGAUAACAACUGGGGAAGAGAGAAGAAAGGCGUCUUUGUUGAGUUAUCCUGACUAAAUUGACAAGGCCUUUUACAGCCUUUGAUACAGAGUCUCGCAACAAUGAAUGGCAUAUAAAUUUGCAGAUGCCGCCUGCAAAGCUCAAAUGUCAAAGCUUUUCGCAACAGCAAGUGGAGGAAUUGAUUGGCUCACCUUUUGUCUCCUUCCAAAUUUUUCAUCCCACAGGACAAAAUAAAAAACAUUGAUUAGCUUACUUUUUGUCUCCUGCCAAAAUCUCACAGGACAGAAAAACAACAACAACAAAGAAUGAAAAAGUCAACUUGUUCCACUGGGUGCCAAAAAGUACCACUAUUUCUUUGAAAUAUCUGACUCCUGGAUCGCUUGGCCUGUGGAGUGGUCUCCUCACCAUAUUCAAUAGCUGCUGAUCAUUUCUGUCGGCCUACUCCACAUUGUUUUCCUCUUCACUCUCUGUCAUCCCCUUUAAAAACAUGCCAUUAAUUUCCAACCACUGCAAUUUUCUCCAGCAGGAACUGAAAAAAGACAUUAUAAAGACAACAUUGGAUUCUCUUCUUUCUCUAAUUAUUGUACAAAGUAGCCUAGCAAUAAUUUUUUCCGUCAUUGGUUGACUCCCAAAAGCCAAAUUGAUGUCAUCUUUGCAAAGAAAGCCAAAAGGAAACCUUUUCAGUGGCUUUGAAUGAGUGCAGGAAGGAAGAAAAAAAUCCCUCUGGGGUUCUGUGACUGAGUGGGCCUUUUUAUUUUCUUUUGCUCUGCUAAUCAAAUGGAGCUGAAAUGAAAAUUGAGUUUUUUAUGAAAAUGGGGCCCUUUGUUGGCUUUGUAAGACUAGUAAUUCAUAAACAAUAAGCCGUCUCCUUUUGUUUGGGAUAUAAUAUAUUCGUGCCGCUCUGAAAGAGGUCUUUGCGCGCCUGCACACACACACACACACACGCACACACACACACACACACACACGCGCACGCUCAGACUGAAGCGAAGCGUGGUGGCCGAGGAAGAGAGGAGAGUAUAAAAGGAGGCAGAGGAAGACUUCCCAUUCAUCCUCCCAGCUGAGAGACGACAGGACCACUCUUUCCUUCAGCUUCUUGAACCUUAGAACACUUUCUUCCUCUGUCAAGAAAAGUUCAGCAGGGUUUUCUUAGGCUACCACCAGGUCCAUGGAUCACUUGCUUGGAACUCCUGAGACAUGCGCAUUUUUCCUAACACAUAUGAUCAACCCAGGAUAUGUUUCAUCUGGCCCUUGUUCCUCCUGGAAGACAAUGAAAAAGACACACACACACACAAGAUGACAGGUGAAAACAACAAGACACACAUGCAUGAGGGGUUAACAUGGGAUUCAGUUGGUGAGAGCAAACGUGAUGGGAAGAAAGCAGAAGCUUUGAGCACUGUGGAGGACCCUUUAAAGUCAAAGAUUCUUGGACGUUUCUUCAGAAGGAACUUCAGUCAUAAUUUCACAUGAAGGAAAGUGAGUGAGGAUGUUGUCAUUCUCUGUCAUUCGUAGUGGAAAUUUCAUAUCAAGUCAAAGUUAGAAGGAGCGCUGUUUACAUUUGAUACGGAUGUCAACAGACGUGGAUUUGGGUUGCAGGAAGGUGGUGCCUAUCUAGCUGACUUCAGGUGAAAGGCAGGCCAUACUAGUUGUCAGUCAACCACCGGCAGAACCUUUCACACAUUCAGACCGUCACUAAGUGGGAACUGACCUCACCCUACCUGCCUACAAACACUAUCAGCAGAGGAUAACCAGGCUACAAUGGAUCCCAAGUGGGCAGCAUUUAUCACAUAGUAUGGUAAAUGGAAUAAGCUCCAGGAUGGAUGGAUACUUGCUGUUGUUGCUCAGAAUGUUGCUCAGUGCUCCACAAUCUAAUGCUUACCAGGCCGCGGCAUGGUGGAGACGGGUUACCACAUCUGCCUCACAGUUCUGAGGACUGGGGUUCAAAUCCUGGCCCCACCAGUGUGGAGUUUUCAUGUUCUCCCCAUGCCUGCGUGGGUUUUGCCCGGGUACUCCAGUUUCCUCCCACAUCCCAAAAGACAUGCACGAGUUUCCAAUAGGAGAGCUCAGCUAUUGGUGACCCCGGCCGACGACAACCUCUGGCCGAGUACAUCUCUGGCUAGCAGACGAGGAGGUACGCUAUGCACUAGAUAAUACUCACAUGAUUUGUACACAUGCAUUUACACACAAACACAUUUUUAGAAAAAGUGUAAAGCACAGACGAAAGCAAAUUGUGUCAACUACCAUGAUUCCUGCUAAAAAAUUGUACCAAAACUUCCCAAUUGUCAUAUGUAAAAAAUGUCAAGUUGUCGCAAAAACAAACCAAACCCAUUUUCAUAGUAACUUGAAAAAUAGCUGAACAAACUAUUAUCUUUGACUUCUGCUUUCAAAAUUUGUUAUCCAUCAAUUUGUUGUGUAUGUAUAGGUAAUAUAAUGUGCCAAUUAAACAUUUAUUUCCAGUCAUAAUAGCCAUCUGAGGAAAAUCGUAACUACAAUGUGGCUUGUGAAUUUUUUUUAUUUAACACCCUUCCAUGUAAAUGUAUCUGUAAAAGAAUGGAAACAGAAAAAAAGGUACCGUAUUGCAUCAUUAAUUUUUCUGAUGGAAUGGGUAUGAAGGAUUUUUUUAAAUACUCAGAAAUAAAGAAAGAAUCAGAAAGAAUAGAUACAAUAUUUGUAAUGGAAAGCCAAUUUCACAAACACAAAAUCAAAUCACCAUAAUGUCUUGCUUUACAGGAGAGAGUUGACAGACUGAGUUUAGAGUAAUCACAUAUUGUGUUAAAGAAAUUUCUAUGAUGUGACCCCAGCUCCAUGUUUUGACAUCCUCGAGGAGAUAUCUGGGGAAGCUCCUCUGACCCUUUGCAAAAAGGAUGGAAAUGGCUGUAGUGAACACUUUCUUCCAGAAGAGGCAGGAACAUAGGGUGACCUACAAGUGCGGAGGUAGAAGCAUGCAGGUGGAUUACAUCCUGUGCAGACGAUGUAAUCUGAAGGAGGCUACUGACUGUAAAGUAGUGGUAGGGGAGAGUGUGGCAAGACAGCAUAGGAUCGUGGUGUGUAAAAUGACUGGUGGUAGGGAGGAAGAUUAAGAAGACAAAGGCAGAGCAGAGAGCCAUGUGGUGGAAGCUGAGAAAGGAAGAGUGUUGUGCUGCUUUUUGGGUAGAGGUGAGACAGGCUCUUGGUGGACAGGAGGAGCUUCCAGAAGACUGGACCACUGCAGCCAAGGUGAUCGGAGAGGCAGGGAGGAGAGUAUUUGGUGUAUCUUCUGGUAGGAAAAUGGAGAAGGAGACUUGGUGGUAGAAUCUCAAAGUCCAGGAAAUCAUACAAGGAAAGAGGUUAAGAAGAAGUGGGACAGUGAGAAGACUGAGGAGAGGUGAAAGGAAUAUAUGUGACAUAGGGCGAAGGUAGAGGUGGCAAAGGCCAAGCAAGAGGCAUAUGAUGACAUGUAUGCCAGGUUGGACACUGAAGAAGGAAAAAAGAUUUAUACAGGUUGGCCAGGCAGAGGGAUAGAGAUGGGAAGGAUGUGCAGCUGAUUAGGGUGAUUAAGGAUAGAGAUGGAAAUGUGUUGACUGGUGCCAGCAGAGUGCUGGAUAGAUGGAAAGAAUACUUUGAGGAGUUGAUGAAUGAGGAAAAUCAGAGAAGAGUAGAAGAGGCAAGUGUGGUGGACCAGGAAGUGGCAAUGAUGAGUAAGGGGGAAGUUAGAAGGCACUAAAGAGGAUGAAAAAUUUAAAGGCAGUUUGUCCUGAUGACAUACCUUUGGAGGUAUGGAAGCAUCUAGAUGUGGCUGUGGAGUUUUUGACCAGCUUGUUCAACAGAAUUCUACCGGGUGAGAAGAUGCCUGAGGAAUGGAGGAAAAGUGUGCUGGUGCCCAUUUUUAAGAACAAAGGUGAUGUGCAGAGUUGUGGGAACUAUAGAGGAAUAAAGUUGAUGAGCUACACAAUUAAGUUAUGAGAAAGAGUAGUGGAGGCUAGACUCAGGACAGAAGUGAGUAUUUGCGAGCAACAGUAGUGUUUCAUGUCUAGAAAGAGUACCACAGAUGCAUUAUUUGCCCCGAGGGUGUUGAUGGAAAAGUACAGAGAACGUCAGAAGGAGCUACAUUGUGUCUUUGUACUUGUAGAUCUAGAGAAAGCCUAUGACAGAGUUCACAGAGAGGGACUGUGAUACUGCAUGCGGAAGUCUGGAGUGACAUAGAAGUAUGCUAGAAUAGUACAGAACAGUGGUGAGGUGUGCUGUAGGUGUGACAGAGGACUUAAAGGUGGAGGUGGGACUGCAUCAGGGAUCAGCCUUGAGCCCCUUCCUGUUUGCAGUGGUGAUGGAUAGGCUGACAGAUGAGGUUAGACUGGAGUCCCCGUCAACCAUGAUGUUUGCAGAUGACAUUGUGAUCUGCAGUGAAAGCAGGGAGCCAAGGUUCGAUGUUUUGGAGACAAAGUUAGAGAGAGCAGACUUGGAUGGUUUGGACACAUCCAGAGGAGAGAGAGUCAUUAUAUUGGUAGGAGGAUGAUGAGGAUGGAGCUGCCAGCCAAGAGAGCUCGAGGAAGACCAAAGAGAAGGUUGAUGGAUGUCGUGAGGGAAGACAUGAGGGCUGUUGGUGUUCGAGAGGAGGAUGCAGGAGAUAGGCUCUCAUGGAAAAGGAUGACGCGCUGUGGCAACCCCUAAAGGGACAAGCCGAAAGGAAAAGAAGAAGUACUCACCAUAGAUGCUGAUUUACAGAUAAAAUCCACCCCCUUUUCUUCUACCGUAUUUUCACAAUCACAAGGCGCACCGCAUUUAAGGAUAGAUGAUUCUUUACUGUGUACACUCGCGUGCGCCGGCUGGCAGUGAUCAACAUGUAAUGCGUGAGACGUUAUUUCAUUAGUUUUAUUUUGUUGAAAAACGUCUUUCGGUCUGAAACCGAAAAUAAAUUUCGGUGCAUCACUAAUUUCAAAGAUCAAUUUAAAAAAUACAAAUAAAAUAACAAGUGUAUUAAAAUGCUUCACUGUCACUAUUUUCAUUUAUUGUUUAAAAAAAAGUCAGUCAAGCGGAGCGCUCAUCACACAACAUUUAUAGAUUUUGGAACUAGGUGCACACAGAAGGCGCGCCGCAUUAUAAGGCGCCCCGUCCAUUUUGGGGAAAAUGUAAGACUUUUAAGUGCGCCUCAUAUGGCGGCACGGUGGACGACUGGUUAGAGCGUCUGCCUCAGAGUUAUGAGGUCCGGGGUUCAACCCCUGACCCCGCCUGUGUGGAGUUUCCAUGUUCUCCCCGUGCCUGCGUGGGUUUUCUCUGGGCACUCCGGUUUCCUCCCACAUCCCAAAAGCAUGCAUGGUAGGUUAAUUGAAGCCUCUAAAUUCCCUGUAGGUGUGAAUGUGAUUGCGAAUGGUUGUUUGUUUGUAUGUGCCCUGCGAUUGGCUGGCAUCCCAUACAUCCCAUGUUGCGACUCUUUACUUCAGCUUCCUGUGCUUGCUUCUUGAAUGAAGUUGAAUUUGAAGGUGUGACAGCAUUCUUCCCACCUCCCUCUUCUGCACUGUCUCCAUGCCAUACUCCUGAUCACGCUUUUAUCUCAUCACCCGCAGUAACCUCUCCAUUUUAUUGUCCUGCCACUGCUAUCUGUCUCUUUGUGGCUCUGAUGAGGGUCACAGGGUUAGCCAGGGAGGGGGCUUGUCAUUAGCUGAGUGUGUGUAUAGAUGUGUGCAGGUGAAGUUUGUACAUGUCCACUCCAGAUAACAACAGUCUUUAAUGAUCAGUGUGAGGAGUUUGGAGCAAAAGAAGAUGAGCAGAUCCUUUAAGGUAAUUUUCUACAAGAAUAGAUUGUAUUAUAUAUAUAUACAUAUAUAUAUAUUAGCAUCCAUCCAUCCACCCAUUUUCUGUACCUCUUUUCCUCACACGGGUCGCGGGCGUGCUGGAGCCUAUCCCAGUUAUCUCCGGGCGAGAGGCGGGGUACACCCAGAACUGGUCGCCAGCCAAUCGCAGGGCAUAUAUAUACAUACAUAUAUUCAUUAUGGUCGCCUGAAAGUGAAAAACAAUGUAACAAAUUGUGAAACACUUUUACAUUGCAGAAAACACAUUAACAAAAGCAGAAACACUUUUACAAAGGACCAAACAAAUUACAAUUGAGAAAAAACGGAACGGGAACGUUACAUUUCACAGACAGAAAUCCCACGCCUUUUCUCGGCAAGACCCGCCCCGCUUCAACAUGAUUGGCUCCUGCAUCGCGUGAAGGGUGGGCUACGCAGAUGUUACAAGAUAUCCAUCCCAAAUAUAAUUUAAAAAAACAAAAAAAUUAUUAUGGUUGGGUUUAGGACUAGGGUUGGGGUUAAGGCAGUUUCGGAUGAGUUAAGGUUAGGAUUAUGCUGGUUAAGGCUGACGUACACAGCACCGCCGCCGAACCCGACUGAACUAUGGCACAGUGUGCGUGGUUUGGCAACUGUUUCAUUGAGCAGCCGACCGGUCGGCCACUGGAUUUGACACGAUUCAAAAUUAUAAUCUCUUUUGCACGGUGUAUUCACGUCCCAGUUUACAUUCAAUCAAAAUGCACAGAAGCUUUCGCCUACGGUGAAAAUACAUUUCCGGGUUUGCGAGCCGCGCCGCCGCGUUGCCUCGGCUCAAGCCAUAUAAAUAAUACGUAAAGCGUCAAAUGUUGUUUUACAUCAAUACUAACCUAUAUUCAUAAUGUAUAAUGCGCCUGUGCAUGAAAAAGCGAAGUUUGUGACCAGAAUGUACGUUCAAAUGACUGGAGCAGGCAGCUUCCUUUCAAAUAUCCACACUUUCCCUUUAAUUCUUGCCAGCAUCCUCUCUCUUUAACAAUCUGCUUCUUCCUUAACUCUAAAGCUAUCUUUUUAUGGUUUAAGAAAUGUGAUCAAGUACAAUAUAUUAUACAGGAAGUCCCCGAUUUACGAACGAGUUCCGUUCCUACGGUGGCGACGUACCCCGAAUUUCCGCGUGAAUCGGAUUUCACCGUUAAAGUCGGAAUUUACGUCGAAAUACUUCGUAUAAAGAAACUAAAAUACAUUAAAAUAAAAAAAAAUAACCUGCUGUACUUACCAUUACUGCUGAGAGGUGGAUGGAGCCACUUGACCAUGAAGUAGUAGACCACGUAAAGUGACGGAGGGGGGUCAGCGGAUGCUGAGGUGCAAAGUGCGAAGAGUUCGCCACCAAUCGCUAUAGACCUCCAAACUUCAUGUGGCCUUUAGAUUAGCCCAAGACCAAUGCGCAGAGAGCCUCAUGGAAUGGGUUUCCAUGGCUGAGCAGCUGCAUCCAGGCCACAUAUCACCAAGUGCAAUGCAAAGCAUCAGAUGCAGUGGUCUAAAGCUCUCCGCCACUGGACUGGAGUGAUGAAUCACGCUUCUCCAUCUGACAAUCUGAUGGACGAGUCUGAGUUUGGCAGGUGGCAAGAGAACGGUACUUGUCUGACUGCAUUGUGCCAAGUAUAAUGUUUGGUGGAGGGGGGAUUAUGGUGUGGGUUUGUUUUUUAGGGACUGGGCUUGGCCCCUUAGUUCCAGUGAAAGAAACUCUGAAUACUUCAGUAUACCAAGAGAUUUUGGACAAUUCCAUGCUCCCAACCUUGUGGGAACAGUCCUUCCAUUUCUAACAUGGCUGCGCACCAAUGCACAAAGCAAGGUCCACAAAUACAUGAAUGACAUAGUCUGGUGUGGAUGAACUUGACUGACCUCCACAGAGUCCUGACUUCAACCCGAUAGAAUACCUUUGGGAUGAGUAAGAGCAGAGACUGAGAGCCAGGCCUUUUUGUCCAACAUCAGUGUGUGACCUCACAAAUACGCUUCUGGAAGAAUGGUCAAAAAUUCCCAUAAACACACUCGUGAACCUUGUGGACAGCCUUCCCAGAGGAAUUGAAGCUGUUAUAGCUACAAAAGGUGGACCGACGUAAUAUUGAACCCUAUGGAUUAGGAAUAGGAUGUCACUUAAAUUCAUAUGUGAGUCAAGGCAGGUCAGUGAAUACUUUUGGCAAUAUAGUGUAUUCAGCACUGAUAUGUUAUAUAGAUUCAUUAAACACUUGGGAAAGUACUUUUCAGAAUGCAAAUUCCUGCCUAAAUUUCCCCAUCACUUUAAACUGCUUAAAUUUCUGGAAGUCACUGCACCAUUUUUACAAUUGUCACUGUACCAGAUUAUCACGCUAUUAGACAUUUCAAACUGCACUAAAUUGCUAGAGGACUCAAACAUCAUUUGUACAAUUGUCACAAAAAAAAAAAAAAAAAAAAAAAGUAUCAGCAUUACCACACUAACAGUCACCUUUAAUUGCUCAGUGACUCUCCAUACUGGUUUUUAUGUUUUUAUGUUUCAAAAGUAUUUUUUUGUCAAAUGACUGUCUGUUGUCAUUCUAGAGCAGCUCCAACUACCGGAAAUAAAUUCCUUGUGAGUUUUUGACAUAAUUGGCAAAUAAAGAUGAUUCUGAUUCUGAUUGUGAUACUGUCACGGCCGCUGCGCUAGUUAUGAUAGAACUUUUAUUUUCUUAGGAGCUAUUUAUUUGUAAAAUAUACUCUGUUGCUUAGAAUGCACAACAGAAGAUAUUUUUUUAUUAUUAUUAUUUUUACAUGUUGGAAAUUUCAAUUAAAACAUUUUUUAAAAGGCAAGAAAAUGUCUCUUUUUAUUGAAAAAAAAAUGUAACCGUGACAGUUAUUGAACUGA